rnacentral:rRNA from 1 species
AGAGUUUGAUCAUGGCUCAGGACGAACGCUGGCGGCGUGCUUAACACAUGCAAGUCGAGCGGAAAGGCCACUUCGGUGGUACUCGAGCGGCGAACGGGUGAGUAACACGUGAGUAAUCUGCCCUUCACUUGGGGAUAACCACCGGAAACGGUGGCUAAUACCCGAUACGACACGUCUCUGCAUGGAGUGCGUGUGGAAAGUUUUUCGGUGGAGGAUGUGCUCGCGGCCUAUCAGCUUGUUGGUGGGGUAAUGGCCCACCAAGGCUUCGACGGGUAGCCGGCCUGAGAGGGUGACCGGCCACACUGGGACUGAGACACGGCCCAGACUCCUACGGGAGGCAGCAGUGGGGAAUAUUGGACAAUGGGCGAAAGCCUGAUCCAGCAACGCCGCGUGAGGGAUGACGGCCUUCGGGUUGUAAACCUCUUUCAGUACCGACGAAGCGAGAGUGACGGUAGGUACAGAAGAAGCACCGGCCAACUACGUGCCAGCAGCCGCGGUA